rnacentral:misc_RNA from 1 species
CAUUUUAUUUUUCUUUUUUUAUCCUCACGGAUUAUUCCGGCCCAGGUUGUCGGCCUCGAAACGAGCUUUCCGAAAAGUACUCACGGGCCCCGCGAGUCAAUCGGGAUCGAAAGUUAGGCACGCGAAGGUAUAGACGCGCGAAUUAUGUUUUACCAAGCAAAUUUCAUUUCGUCGUAUGUAAAUAGUAUUCAGUUAAUUGAGUCGGGCUCGGGAAAUUGCGUUAAUCGAGUCGCUUAAAAGCCGUAAGUUAAACAAUCUAGACUUCUCUCGAGAAGAGAAAUUGAAUCGCUUCAAGUAAAUUUGCAAUGCAUUACAUGAC